GUUGGGACUGUUAUAGAAAUGUUCAGACUCAGAAUUCCAAAGCAUUUACACAGAGAGAAUUAACGUAUGAAAUUUUCAUGUUGAUUAUUGUUUAGGAUGCCAAGAGAAGGGACUCAAGAUUUUAGCAUGCAGAGAAGAAACUGAGUCUAUGAUGCUGUCAAGAAUAUUUGUUUUGGGCAGAAGCAAGGGCAAACAAGAAAUGGGGUCAAUUGGGUUGUUGGACAUGAGUAAGAUGGUCAAUUCACACAGCAAAUUGUUGAAGAGAAGAAGACAAAAAGGGACAAGGAGGGGCAUGAACGACGCCGCUUUAUACAAAGGAUACGGGAAGAACAAAAAGACGAAGAGAGGCCAUAGAAAGAAGGUAAGGAAGGCAAAAUGCAAGGGCAAAUAAGUAAAAACCCAUUUCUAAAAUUGAAUUGAAAGUUACUAUAGCUUAUACUAUGUGAGGCUCCUCCCUUUAUUGUAGAUAUAUUAAUUAGAUAUAUACUAUAACGCAAUAGAGAAUAGAGAUGAAGAUACAUUAUUUCA